rnacentral:rRNA from 1 species
CCUACGGGGGGCUGCAGUGGGGAAUAUUGGACAAUGGGCGAAAGCCUGAUCCAGCCAUGCCGCGUGUGUGAAGAAGGCCUUCGGGUUGUAAAGCACUUUCAGUGGGGAAGAAAGCCUUGGGGCUAAUACCCUCGAGGUAGGACAUCACCCACAGAAGAAGCACCGGCUAACUCCGUGCCAGCAGCCGCGGUAAUACGGAGGGUGCGAGCGUUAAUCGGAAUUACUGGGCGUAAAGCGCGCGUAGGCGGUCUGAUAAGCCGGUUGUGAAAGCCCCGGGCUCAACCUGGGAACGGCAUCCGGAACUGUCAGGCUAGAGUGCAGGAGAGGAAGGUAGAAUUCCCGGUGUAGCGGUGAAAUGCGUAGAGAUCGGGAGGAAUACCAGUGGCGAAGGCGGCCUUCUGGACUGACACUGACGCUGAGGUGCGAAAGCGUGGGUAGCAAACAGGAUUAGAUACCCUGGUAGUC